rnacentral:rRNA from 1 species
UACGGAGGGUCCGAGCGUUAAUCGGAAUUACUGGGCGUAAAGAGCACGUAGGUGGCUACUUAAGUCGGAUGUGAAAUCCCUGGGCUUAACCUAGGAACUGCAUACGAUACUGGGUAGCUAGAGUACUGUAGAGGACAGUGGAAUUUCUAGUGUAGCGGUGAAAUGCGUAGAUAUUAGAAGGAACAUCAGUGGCGAAGGCGACUGUCUGGACAGAUACUGACACUGAGGUGCGAAAGCGUGGGUAGCAAACAGG